rnacentral:lncRNA from 1 species
UUUCUUUUGAUCGGUUCAACAACUGAAUAUGCAAACCACACAUAACUGAAGCUUGCACCCACUAACUAGCAAGCAAGACAGAAUUCUCAGUUACAUCCAACAUCGCUACGUGAAGAACAUCACAGAGGCUUUUCUUGCGGUACCUGUUUCUGCGCGACUUCCUCUCCUGCUUCUUCAUGUCCUGCACCGUUGGUGUCUCUUCGCUAUAUGAUCAACAAAAGUGACUGGGGUUCAGACACUAUGCAUCCGAUGCCAGUUUAAUGCACCGGUUUUCAGUUUCCCAUGCUUCCCAAUCCUCUCGCAGCCUCCUUCCGUAGCAGAGAUGAGCCUCGGCGCAGGAGCCUAGAGAAAUAAAACAGACGACUGAUCAUGAAUAAUUAUAGUCAACCAACGAUUAUAUUAACUGCACAAACAUAAAUGAGAACGGUCCCAAAAUAAACAGUAUCAUUCAUCUUCAAAACAUGCACAGCUUAAACAUGGGACACUGGACACCAAGAUCAGCUUAAAUGGCCUGAGCACGUCAAACGGGCCAAUUUUAACUUUAUUUCAGUUACCAAUGAGAUAGGAUGGAUCGGCAUUACAGUACCCAUCAAUGAAUAAUUUGGCACGACUAGUUUUCCAUUACACCACCAUGUAUGCUGACAGCGUCAGCACACAACUAAAGGAAGGUCAAUAUAACUUAACAUGUUGAACUCACAACACUGGGCGCUGACAAGUGGAAGAUUUCCUUUGACAUGUUAAAUCAGUAUCAGAGCACGCAAAUGGUUGACCAGAAGAAGAAAAUAAUUCGGAAGGUAACCACAUGAAAGCACAACACCUUGGCAGACCAUGUGUUUGUUCAGCAUAUGCAUAAUCACCACAGCAAGCAAAACUGGAAACUAACCAAAAGAAUAUGCAAUCCUCCAUCACCAGAGAGCACCACCUUCCAUCAAAUUUGCAUCGGUCAUCAUCGUAGGCUGCAAUUACGCAUGCACAUAGAU